CGUGUCUCUUCGCGUUAAACGAUCGCAGAACGAUUUAUUUCUCUUUUUCACCUCGAUCUUUGGCCUUGUGUGAUUUACCAAAACCAACAUGUGAAGUUACAACGCUGACGAAGGAGUUUCAUCAGUAGAGUGUGUCCUGGUAAAUGUGUGCUCGGAAACAUGCAGAUUACAGUAUUUACAGAGCCGACCUUGAGGCACCCACUGAUUGAUAAUCUGUUUACCUAAAAACAGCACACCACAAUCCAUGUUUACCAGCUGUGAAAGUGCAGGCCAAAAAUCUUCCUUCACCUGUGGGCCUCUACCCACAUGUAGAUAAGCACUUCAGGAGAAACCUGCCUGUGAUCUGCUAAGAUGCACAGAUUCAACUCUGGCCCAUUGUCAUCCCAACACCUCAUCUGCCAUCAGUUUCGUUUAGUGUCGGUCUAUUGCAAAAGUUCUUAUAAACUUUAAAUGAGACUUUGUGUUAAGCAGGGGUUUCCAAACUUUUCAUUCCACAACAUAUUAAGCCCAGGAUACACAGCAGGAUUUUUGCAAUCCAAUAAGACUUUAUCACACUGUGUGACAAGGAUUGUUUAAACUUCAGCAGUAGACUGUCGAUGAAGACACCUAUUGCAUCUGAAGCUGCGACAUCUGUCAUCAGCAUGCGCUAGUGGUAAACAAAUACAGGUUUGCAGAUCGUAGAAGCAAACACAUUGUUGAUGUGCGAUGAUCAUGCUGAACUUCUUACACUGUCAUAAAACUAUCGUAGGUGACUUUGGUCCAAGGACUGGGAAAACAGACGUCUUUAAACCUCUCACACUGUAUGAGAUAGGACCACCAAUUAAGAGCCACGAUCACAGAAAUCUCCACGAUUGUUUCACGAUUGGUAAUCUUUCAUCUGGGACAGCCAAAAAUCGUGCCGUGUAUUAUGGGCUUUAGACAGGUGUAAUCUUAUAGUAUAUCAAAACCAUUGCUAAUAAUUAAUUGGACAAACCAUCACUACAAUGCAACACUCACUAUCUUACGGUGCGACCCACAAGUGGGUCUUCACCCACAGUUUAAAAACCCUGAGUAUGAGAAAGAGUAUGUUGUAUUGUAAUUAAAGUCACAUCUAAGCGUUAUGGAACAGUUUGUCAUUAUAUUCACAGUAUUACAUGGUUCUUUCAGCAGUUACUACGUUACAGUGCUCUUAAAGUGUCCUGAUCAGCUUUGGGUCUUGUGAAGUAAUGUAAUGAGAACUUGAUCAAUAGCUUUGCAGUAUUUUGUUACACUGUGGCUGUAAUCAUAUUAACACAUAGGUUAAACAUUUUAUUCAAAUUUGGUAAACAAACUAGUCAAUAUAAUUCAUGCUGUGAUGCUGGAUUAAACCUGGUCAAAUGAUUGUGUAUUGUGUUUUCAAUUUUUUAUGAGGUUUCUUCAUCUAUAUAAACAUUCUCAAUAUCA